GAUUGAAGAACGCAGCGAAAUGCGAUAAGUAAUGUGAAUUGCAGAAUUCAGUGAAUCAUCGAAUCUUUGAACGCACAUUGCGCCCGCCAGUAUUCUGGCGGGCAUGCCUGUUCGAGCGUCAUUACAACCCUCAGGCCCCCGGGCCUGGCGUUGGGGAUCGGCGGAAGCCCCCUGUGGGCACACGCCGUCCCUCAAAUACAGUGGCGGUCCCGCCGCAGCUUCCAUUGCGUAGUAGCUAACACCUCGCAACUGGAGAGCGGCGCGGCCAUGCCGUAAAACACCCAACUUCUGAAUGUUGACCUCGAAUCAGGUAGGAAUACCCGCUGAACUUAAGCAUAUCAAUAAGCGGAGGA
rnacentral:misc_RNA from 1 species